rnacentral:piRNA from 1 species
UGAUAAUGUUAAAAGUGCUGA